CCGGCGGGCCCGGGAGCCUCGCGGACGUGACGCCGCGGGCGGAAGUGACGUUUUCCCGCGGUUGGACGCGGCGCUCGGUUGCCGGGCGGGGGAGGGCUCGUCCGGUUUUUCUCAGGGGACGUUCAAAUUAUUUUUGUAACGGGAGUCGGGAGAGGACGGGGCGUGCCCCGACGUGCGCGCGUCCUCCUUCCCCGGCCCUUCGCCACCACUCACUGGCUCCUGCCCUCGGGGGGAGUCAUGCCGCCCAAAACCCCCCGGAGAGCAGCAGCCGCCGCCACCGCUGCCGCCGAACCCCCGCCGCCGCCGCCGCCGCCCCCCGCUCCUGAGGAGGACCCCGAGCAGGACAGUGGCCCCGACGACCUGCCUCUGCCCAGGCUUGUGUUUGAAGAAACCGAAGAACCUGAUUUUACUGCAUUAUGUCAGAAAUUAAAGAUACCAGAUCAUGUCAGAGAAAGAGCUUGGUUAACUUGGGAGAAAGUUUCAUCUGUGGAUGGAGUAUUGGAAGGUUAUGUUCAAAGGAAAAAGGAGCUAUGGGGAAUCUGUAUCUUUAUUGCAGCAGUUGACCUAGAUGAGAUGCCAUUCACUUUUACUGAGCUACAGAAAAACAUAGAAACCAGUGUCUGCAAAUUCUUUGAUUUACUAAAAGAAAUUGAUACCAGUACUAAAGUUGAUAAUGCUAUGUCAAGACUGUUGAAGAAGUAUAAUGUAUUGUGUGCACUCUACAGCAAAUUAGAAAGGACAUGUGAACUUAUAUAUUUGACACAGCCCAGCAGUUUGAUAUCUACUGAAAUUAACUCUGUGUUGGUGCUAAAAGUUUCUUGGAUCACGUUUUUACUAGCGAAAGGGGAAGUGUUACAAAUGGAGGAUGAUCUCGUCAUCUCAUUUCAGUUAAUGCUCUGUGUCCUUGACUAUUUUAUUAAACUCUCACCUCCUGCAUUGCUUAAAGAACCAUAUAAAACAGCUGUAAUACCUUUUAAUGGUUCACCUCGAACACCAAGGCGAGGUCAGAACAGGAGUGCACGGAUAGCAAAACAACUAGAAAAUGAUACAAGAAUUAUUGAAGUUCUCUGUAAAGAACAUGAAUGUAAUAUAGAUGAGGUGAAAAAUGUUUAUUUCAAAAAUUUCAUACCUUUUAUGAAUUCUCUUGGAAUUGUAGCUUCUAAUGGACUUCCAGAGGUGGAAAGUCUCUCUAAACAAUAUGAAGAGAUUUACCUUAAAAACAAAGAUCUUGAUGCAAGAUUAUUUCUGGAUCAUGAUAAAACUCUUCAGGCUGAUCCUAUAGACAGUUUUGAAAUGCAGAGAACACCACGAAAAAGUAACUCUGAUGAAGAGGUGAAUGUGAUUCUUCCACAAACUCCAGUUAGGACUGUUAUGAAUACUAUCCAACAAUUAAUGAUGAUCUUAAAUUCAGCAAGUGAUCAACCAUCAGAAAAUUUGAUUUCCUAUUUUAAUAACUGCACAGUGAAUCCAAAGGAAAGUAUCCUGAAAAGAGUGAAGGAUGUUGGAUACAUCUUUAAAGAGAAAUUUGCUAAAGCUGUGGGACAGGGAUGUAUGGAAAUUGGAUCACAGCGAUACAAACUUGGAGUCCGAUUGUAUUACCGAGUAAUGGAAUCCAUGCUUAAAUCAGAAGAAGAACGAUUAUCCAUUCAAAAUUUUAGCAAACUCCUGAAUGACAACAUCUUUCAUAUGUCUUUGUUGGCAUGUGCCCUUGAGGUUGUAAUGGCUACAUAUAGCAGAAAUACAUCUCAGAAUCUUGAUACUGGAACAGAUUUGUCCUUCCCAUGGAUUCUGAAUGUACUUAAUUUAAAAGCAUUUGAUUUUUACAAAGUGAUUGAAAGUUUUAUCAAAGCAGAAGCCAACUUGACCAGAGAAAUGAUAAAACAUUUAGAACGAUGUGAACAUCGAAUCAUGGAAUCACUUGCAUGGCUCUCUGAUUCACCUUUAUUUGAUCUGAUUAAACAAGCAAAAGACCGAGAAGGACCAGCUGAUCACCUUGAAUCUGCUUGUACUCUCAACCUUCCUCUCCAGAGUAAUCACACUGCAGCGGAUAUGUAUCUUUCUCCUGUAAGAUCCCCAAAGAAAAAAGGAUCAACUAUACGUGUAAAUUCUACUGCAAACACAGAGGCACAAGCAACCUCAGCCUUCCAGACUCAGAAGCCAUUGAAAUCUACCUCCCUUUCACUUUUUUACAAAAAAGUGUACCGACUAGCAUAUCUUCGACUAAAUACCCUGUGUGCACGCCUUCUGUCUGACCACCCAGAACUAGAACACAUCAUCUGGACCCUUUUUCAGCACACACUGCAAAAUGAGUAUGAACUCAUGAGGGACAGGCAUUUGGAUCAGAUUAUGAUGUGUUCCAUGUAUGGCAUAUGCAAAGUGAAGAAUAUAGACCUUAAAUUCAAAAUCAUUGUAACAGCAUACAAGGAUCUUCCUCAUGCUGUUCAGGAGACAUUCAAACGUGUUUUGAUCAGAGAAGAGGAGUAUGAUUCCAUUAUAGUAUUCUAUAACUCGGUCUUCAUGCAGAGACUGAAAACAAAUAUUUUGCAGUAUGCUUCUACCAGGCCCCCUACCUUGUCACCAAUACCUCACAUUCCUCGAAGCCCUUACAAGUUUUCUAGUUCACCUUUACGGAUUCCUGGGGGGAACAUCUAUAUAUCACCCCUGAAGAAUCCAUAUAAAAUUUCAGAAGGUGUGCCAACGCCAACAAAAAUGACUCCAAGAUCAAGAAUCUUAGUAUCAAUUGGUGAAUCAUUUGGGACUUCUGAGAAGUUCCAGAAAAUAAACCAGAUGGUGUGUAACAGCGACCGUGUGCUCAAAAGAAGUGCUGAAGGCAGCAACCCUCCCAAACCAUUGAAAAAACUACGCUUUGAUAUUGAAGGAUCAGAUGAAGCAGAUGGAAGGUAGGAACAGCUGUAGAAUGUUUUUCCGUAGCUGAGCUGCUCAUGUGGAGAAGCCAGAGUGCCAGCUCUACCCCUUUAUACCAAUUUUAUUUCAAAAUUGUGGAGAUUGCUCAAAGAAAUAGUAAACAUCUCCCAGGGGAGUCCAAAUUUCAACAGAAACUGGCAGAAAUGACAUCUACCCGAACACGAAUGCAGAAGCAAAAAAUGAACGAUAGCAUGGAUACCUCAAACAGGGAAGAAAAAUGAGGGUCCCGUGACCUCUGUGGGCACCGCGUACACCUCUGGCCUCAUGGUCUCUCACAGAUCCCGCUGUGUGACUCUCCCAGUUUCUGUUUACGGCCGCAUUGAAUACCUAUCUUCAGCUUUUUCUGCUGGAUAUCAAGUCUGCGCACGGGCUUGCGUGUGGUGUGCGUGCAGGGGAUUCCUAAGCCACUUGCAAUGUCGUAGUCAGUAGAAUAUACUUGUUAUUGCACAAGAUUGAAAAUCUUGUGUAAAUCCUGCCAUUUAAAAAGUUGUAGCAGAUGUUUCCAUUUCCAAGUAUCAUUGCUCUGCUCUACAAACGGGGAGGAUGCCCUGGGAGUGGCGGUCCAAACAACCCAGGCCUAUUUGAGUACUUUGUCUUUUCUUGUGGCAUAUAUGUGAUGUUUGCUAUUAUUUUUAUUAAUUUAUAUUUAUAUAUUUUUUUAAUUUAACAUGAACACCCUUAGAAUAUGUGUCCUGUAUUCCAAAUGCAAUUUGGCUGACUACUUCCCCUUCACCCAAAUGAUCCUGAACUCUUCUGCUAAAACAGAUAUUAGAAACUAGAAAAAAAAAUCACUAAUUUUUACACAUUAGAUUUUAGUUUACUAAUGGAAUCUGAUGUACUGUUUGCUUGUUUUAUAAAUUUUAGUUUUUAAACACAGGCAGAAAACAAAGUAUAAACAAAUGAUGGUGUCAUACUACUGAUACAGAUUUCAUACCUCAGGAUUUGUAAGAAUUUAUUGAUCCUUUUCUUCAUCCAACUCAUGCUUUAAAAUGAGAGUUAUUAAUAGUGCUCUUGGUUUUUAUACCAUUCAGAUCACUGAAUUCAUGAGGUAACCAUCAAGUACUUGGAAAAUCAAGUGUUCAGCUAGAGCUUUGCUUCGAGGACCCUAAGACAGUAUAUCCCAAGUGCACUUUCUAAUGUUUCUGGGUCCUGAAGAAUCAAGAUUUAAAUAAUUUUAUUCCACAAAUAGACUGUUAACUAUUGGAGCCUUAAUUUUUCUUUCUUAGAGGUUUGUCUAAUUGCAUCUCAGCAAUUAUUCUGCCCUCCUAAAUUUGGGAAGGGGUGUUUUCUCUGGAAUUGUACAUGUCUUCCAUGUAUCUUUUGAACUGGCAGUUGUCUAUUUAUCUUUUUUUUUUUUAAGUCAGUAUGGUCUAACACUGGCAUAUUCAAAGCCACAUCAUUUCUACUCCAAAAUUGCAAGUAAUCAAAGGUCUUCGGGUUAGGCAUUCAUGUUUCUAUCUGGUUUUGUGCAAAAGCUUCAAAUGAAAACAGCUGUGUUAGAAAACGAGGCGCUUUCCCCCGACACCUAAAGGUGUAUUUAAACUAUCUUGUGUGAUUAACUUAUUUAGAGAUGGUAUAAUUUAAAAUAGGUGAUAUUUAAGGUAGCAUCAGCUAGCUUUUAGGAAAAUCACUUUGUCUAAACUCAGAGUUCUUUUUAAAAAGAAAUCUGAUCUUAUUUGUUAGAAAAAGAAAUUUUAUUUUAUGCUCAGUUAAGUUUCAAACUUAUUUUUGGCAGUUAUAACAAGGCACUAGGAAGCUUUCUCCCAUUUCCUCAUUAAUUUUUGCAUGAAUAUCAUAAAAAUCAGUUAGCUUUUAGGUCAAGGGCUACCAUAUUUCUGGAUCUUUUGCUAAUGAAAGUUCACAUUAGAGUUAGUGCCAGAAUUUUAGGAACUUCAGAGAUCCUGUACGGGGAUUUCUUAAAUAAAGCUUCAGAUAUUGCUUUAUUGCUUUUUUGUAUUGGUUAAAACUGUACAUUUAAAAUUGCUAUGUUACUAUUUUCUACGAUUAAUAGUUUGUCUAUUUUAAAAUAAAUUAGUUGUUAAGAGUCUUAA